rnacentral:lncRNA from 1 species
GGAGAAAGAGAGAAAGUACAAAGAUGAGCCAGACGGUUUUCCAACCUGUAAGAACAUGUUGUCUUUACCAGGCCGGGUACGAAAGCCAGCUCUGCUCCUGUUGUGUGUCUCCCGUUCCGGGCCUGGGCUGUGUUUGGUGCUAACAGGAGCCUGUACCUUAUUUUUUCCUGUGCCAUGUCAGCCCUCCCGAUUCAGUCUUCCUUUCCCCAUCCGGAGUCUUCACUUCCCCCUUCUGAAGAGCUCUAACCCAAGAAGAACUGAUGGAGAAAUGAGUUAAGAUCCAGAUCUCAGCACGUUGCCUCAGCUUCUCCGACCGAGUACUUCAUGCUUCUUGAGAAUAAUAUAAAGAUGGAGUUCGGUUUUCUUUAGGC